ACGUAGGUGGCGAGCGUUGUCCGGAAUUACUGGGUGUAAAGGGAGUGUAGGCGGGAAGGCAAGUCAGAAGUGAAAAUUAUGGGCUUAACCCAUAACCUGCUUUUGAAACUGUUUUUCUUGAGUGAGGCAGAGGCAAGCGGAAUUCCUAGUGUAGCGGUGAAAUGCGUAGAUAUUAGGAGGAACACCAGUGGCGAAGGCGGCUUGCUGGGCCUUUACUGACGCUGAGGCUCGAAAGCGUGGGGAGCAAACAG
rnacentral:rRNA from 1 species